rnacentral:rRNA from 1 species
AUUGAACGCUGGCGGCAUGCUUUACACAUGCAAGUCGAACGGCAGCACGGGGCAACCUGGUGGCGAGUGGCGAACGGGUGAGUAAUAUAUCGGAACGUACCCAAGAGUGGGGGAUAACGUAGCGAAAGUUACGCUAAUACCGCAUACGAUCUAAGGAUGAAAGCAGGGGAUCUUCGGACCUUGUGCUCCUGGAGCGGCCGAUAUCUGAUUAGCUAGUUGGUGAGGUAAAGGCUCACCAAGGCGACGAUCAGUAGCUGGUCUGAGAGGACGACCAGCCACACUGGAACUGAGACACGGUCCAGACUCCUACGGGAGGCAGCAGUGGGGAAUUUUGGACAAUGGGCGAAAGCCUGAUCCAGCAAUGCCGCGUGAGUGAAGAAGGCCUUCGGGUUGUAAAGCUCUUUUGUCAGGGAAGAAACGGUCGUGGCUAAUAUCCAUGGCUAAUGACGGUACCUGAAGAAUAAGCACCGGCUAACUACGUGCCAGCCGCCGCAGUAA